GAUGAAGAACGCAGCGAAAUGCGAUAAGUAAUGUGAAUUGCAGAAUUCAGUGAAUCAUCGAAUCUUUGAACGCACAUUGCGCCCGCUAGUAUUCUGGCGGGCAUGCCUGUCCGAGCGUCAUUUCAACCCUCAAGCCCCCGGGCUUGGUGUUGGGGAUCGGCGAGCCUCCGCGCCCGCCGUCCCCUAAAUCUAGUGGCGGUCUCGCUGUAGCUUCCUCUGCGUAGUAGCACACCUCGCACUGGGAAACAGCGCGACCACGCCGUUAAACCCCCAACUUCUGAACGUUUGACCUCGGAUCAGGUAGGAAUACCCGCUGAACUUAAGCAUAUCAAUAAGCGGAGGA
rnacentral:misc_RNA from 1 species